rnacentral:rRNA from 1 species
GUCGUCAUUUGGCGAGAAAGCUCAGUCUCAGGAGGAAGCGGAGCAGUCCAAAUGUUUUUGAGAUGGCAGCAACGGAAACCAUAACGAGCAUCAUCUUGAUUAAGCUCAUUAGGGUUAGCCUCGGUACGGUCAGGCAUCCACGGCGCUUUAAAAUAGUUGUUAUAGAUAUUCAAAUAACCCUGAAACAAAUGCUUAGGGAUUUUAUUGGUAUCAGGGUUAAUCGUGCCAAGAAAAGCGGCAUGGUCAAUAUAACCAGUAGUGUUAACAGUCGGGAGAGGAGUGGCAUUAACACCAUCCUUCAUGAACUUAAUCCACUGUUCACCAUAAACGUGACGAUGAGGGACAUAAAAAGUAAAAAUGUCUACAGUAGA